CUCUGGCAGUCCCCAGAGCUCCUGACUGCAUUGGGUGGCAGGGGCACCCCAGCUGCUAUAGGCCAUGGGCUGCAGGGGAUGCUUGAGCUCCAGCACUCAACCUGCAGCUGCCCCAGUGGCAGGGCUCAGGUUUCUGGGACUUUUACUAAAAACACCUGUGACAAAGUCUUAGCCUUAAUUAUAAGGCUAGAAGGGAUCACUGAUCAUCUAGUCUGAACACCUCUCUUAGAUGACUUGUGUAACUUUAGCCUUUAAUUUUGAGUCCUGAAUAAACCAUUCCAUUACUUAACCAAUCCAUAGGUCCCGCAGUCAUCCCUUUUUCAAAUAUUUGAACUAUGCUGGCAGUACUCUAAGGCUUUAAAGUUUCUGUUUUUCACGACUAUUAAAAAUAAACAUCAGUGGUUCAGAGUGCUCCACAGCUAGUUCCUUUAAGACUGUUGGGUGCAAGUUAUCCAGGCCUGUUGACUUGAAAAUGCUUCAUUUUAGCAGAUUCUGCCUCACUUCCUCUUGCUACAGAUAAAACCUUCUAUUCCAUCCACCAUCAUACAAGAUUAAUACAGCAUUUUGCACAAUUUCUCCCUUUGAUUUCCAGGCAGGUGCAGUGCUCUCUCCUUUUACUCUGAGCUAUCCAUUGAGAUACAACGUUGUAUUUAAAAAAAAAAAAAUAGGAAGUUUGUUUUUUUAAUUAUGUCAAGUGGUAGUUAAGGUUGCAUGAGGACAUACCUCAACCAUCCAAAAACCUUAACUUACUUAAAUAAGUUAAGGGGAGAGACUUGUUCAUUAAUUUAUAUUGAAGCUGAAGUUUAAGUCCACAUUUCAUAAGUUAUCCUUAUUUUAAUGUAUAUUCACUCAACUAGCAAAACUGGGUCUCAGUCUUAGCAUACUGUCAGUACAGGUAUUUAUGUUCUCUGCUCACAGUAAUGAGUUGAUUAAAAAAGGAAAAGUGUUUUUUAUAAGUUCAAUAAAAAAGUAUAUCCAAGACUUUUUUGUGAAAGUGAUUUAUUGCCAUCUAAACACUUUACUACAGUAGAUCUGAGUUAUUAGAAUAUAAAGUAAAACACUUGGUUAAAGUACACUUGACAUCAGACUUACACAUGCCUUACAGGUUUUCUAUGUAGUCUUCACUAAUGUGCACCAACUUCAUGUUUUACAAUCACUCCAGAUCGUGAGUUCUUCCUCCAUCAUAACAAAAUUUCCAAAACUUUUAGAACCAGGCAUUUGUGUUAAACUGUAAAUAACAUGUCUAUAAAAAGAACAGUUGAGAAAUACAAAAUGCGAGAGAGGACUAGCAGACAAUUCUUUUUGGAGGCAGAGUACAUCUCACAUUUGAUUUACUUUUCUGUGUACAGGAAGUCACAUACAAGAAGCAUGGUAAUCAUCUCAAUUAUUUGGAACUGCCAACUAGUUCUAAAAGUUUGUAAAAACUGGUCCAAUUACAACAAACUUAGGGAUUUGCAUAAUUAACUGAGUUUAUCAUUAAAGAAAUGCAUUGUUACAAACACAGAGCUGAUAUGUACUAGCACAAACUAUUUGUUCAGGUUGUCAGAUGUACGCCCUGCUGAGGCUUCACCUUCUAAUUAAAAGAUAUUUAGUACCAUACAAUAUCUCUU